rnacentral:lncRNA from 1 species
AGACAGGAGUCCAGGGCCUGCGAAUCGAGCUGACGCCAGCACCUCUGUGCCUGCUUGCACCUGGACCCAGCAGAGCCACGGGGGCCCCGAAUCACACCUGCAGUCAGGGCGUGGUGGGUGAGCUUUGGAGCAAUCCACGCUGGACUCCUUCCUCCUGAAUUUCCCUUUCUCUCCUCCCUCCCCGUCUCCCACCUGCCGCCUGUCUCCCACUCAAUAAACUCCAGUGCCCUUUCUUCCCUUGAGUGGAGGGCUUUUUGCAGGAUGAAAGGCAGAUGAAAGAAACGUCCUUGCCUUUGGUUUCUAAAGCCUCAUAUAGAACAGGAGGGUUUUUGGAGGAGGAAGGUUUUCCCUUCAGGUAGAAGCAGCGAGUUUUCUUAUCUUCAGAAUGGACAUGAAUAGGGAGGGGUUUCCUCCAACCCAUUCACUCAUCCACCCUUUCACAGAUAUUUGAGUGCCUACUAGGUGCAGUGUCACUCUGGAAGCUGGGAACACAGUGGGACCGGCAAGCCACCCCCAGUCCUCGUGAGGUUAACUAGCAAGACAGCUAGUUUGCAGGGGCUGGAGAGACUUCUUCAUGAAGGAAUACAGGGACAGUCACAGGAGACAGGAGCACCAAGGGAUUCGGACAUGUGGCUGACACAGUCUUCUGGAGAGCCCCGGAUGGCAUCAGGGGGAAACCUGGCCUGAGACAGUGCCCUGAUGGACAAGGACAGGAAUACGGUCAUACCUCCUGCCCACUUGACCAACGACCAGGAUGAGAAGCCAACAGAUGAUGAAUAUGAAUUAAAGUUGGACAACUAGCAAGUUUAAAACUUGGACUGGGACCUAGAUCUUCCGAUUCCUACAGCUAGCCUCCCUUUCCAUCUUCUCUGUGGUCAUCACUAAUGCAGUUUUUGACCGUCUUGUCCAGAAGCUGCAAAACAGACAACAGAAGCCAGGACUGGCCCUGCCUUAGAUGGCUUUCAGUGCAGGAAAGUAUCAAGACAGUCUUGUUCGUAGCGUAUAUCUCUCUCCACCUUUUCUGCUAAGCACCUCAUGUAUGCAGCUGCCAAUGUAACACCUCCAUUUGCGUGUUUAAUCACCAUCUCAAGCUAAUGUAACCAAGCAGACUUCUUGGCCUUCAUCCCUGCCUCCUCUAGUCUUCUCAUCUCUCUCUCUCUCUCUCUCUUUUUGAGACAGAAUUU